CGGUGGGGGCAGCUUACCAUGCAGUCGAGCGGUAACAGAGAGUAGCUUGCUACUUUGCUGACGAGCGGCGGACGGGUGAGUAAUGCUUGGGAAUAUGCCUUAUGGUGGGGGACAACAGUUGGAAACGACUGCUAAUACCGCAUAACGUCUACGGACCAAAGGGGGGGAUCUUCGGGCCUCUCGCCAUUUGAUUAGCCCAAGUGAGAUUAGCUAGUUGGUAAGGUAAAGGCUUACCAAGGCGACGAUCUCUAGCUGGUUUGAGAGGAUGAUCAGCCACACUGGGACUGAGACACGGCCCAGACUCCUACGGGAGGCAGCAGUGGGGAAUAUUGCACAAUGGGCGAAAGCCUGAUGCAGCCAUGCCGCGUGUGUGAAGAAGGCCUUCGGGUUGUAAAGCACUUUCAGUUGUGAGGAAAGGGGUGUAGUUAAUAGCUGCAUCCUGUGACGUUAGCAACAGAAGAAGCACCGGCUAACUUCGUGCCAGCAGCCGCGGUAAC
rnacentral:rRNA from 1 species